AUUGAACGCUGGCGGCAGGCUUAACACAUGCAAGUCGAACGAGUGGCGGACGGGUGAGUAAUGCUUGGGAAUCUAGCUGAUGGAGGGGGAUAACUACGGGAAACUGUAGCUAAUACCGCGUACCAUCGGAUGUGCCCAGGUGGGAUUAGCUAGUUGGUGGGGUAAAGGCUCACCAAGCCGACGAUCUCUAGCUGGUCUGAGAGGAUGACCAGCCACACUGGGACUGAGACACGGCCCAGACUCCUACGGGAGGCAGCAGUGGGGAAUAUUGCGCAAUGGGGGCAAGCCUGAUGCAGCCAUGCCGCGUGAAUGAAGAAGGCCUUCGGGUUGUAAAGUACUUUCGGCAGCGAGGCGUUACCUGCAGAAGAAGCACCGGCUAACUCCGUGCCAGCCGCCGCGGUAAUUC
rnacentral:rRNA from 1 species